rnacentral:rRNA from 1 species
UACGUAGGCAGCGAGCGUUGUUCGGAAUUACUGGGCGUAAAGAGUGUGUAGGCGGUGCUCUAAGUUCGGUGUGAAAUCUCCUGGCUCAACUGGGAGGGUGCGCCGGAAACUGGAGUGCUUGAGCGUGGGAGAGGAAAGCGGAAUUCCUGGUGUAGCGGUGAAAUGCGUAGAUAUCAGGAGGAACACCUGUGGUGUAGACGGCUUUCUGGACCAUAGCUGACGCUGAGACACGAAGUGUGGGGAUCAAACAGG